rnacentral:rRNA from 1 species
GAUGAACGCUGGCGGCGUGCCUAAUACAUGCAAGUCGAGCGAACGGACGAGAAGCUUGCUUUUCUGAUGUUAGCGGCGGACGGGUGAGUAACACGUGGAUAACCUACCUAUAAGACUGGGAUAACUUCGGGAAACCGGAGCUAAUACCGGAUAAUAUUUUGAACCGCAUGGUUCAAAAGUGAAAGACGGUCUUGCUGUCACUUAUAGAUGGAUCCGCGCUGCAUUAGCUAGUUGGUAAGGUAACGGCUUACCAAGGCAACGAUGCAUAGCCGACCUGAGAGGGGGAUCGGCCACACGGGAACUGAGACACGGUCCAGACUCCUACGGGAGGCAGCAGUAGGGAAUCUUCCGCAAUGGGCGAAAGCCUGACGGAGCAACGCCGCGUGAGUGAUGAAGGUCUUCGGAUCGUAAAACUCUGUUAUUAGGGAAGAACAUAUGUGUAAGUAACUGUGCACAUCUUGACGGUACCUAAUCAGAAAGCCACGGCUAACUACGUG